rnacentral:rRNA from 1 species
AGGUGUGCUUGGGAGCUGUAAUCAAAAUUGUAUU